UAGUUAGCACAUUGUUUCUUCUAGUGUCCCAGAGCUUUACAGAAGAAAUAAACAUUUUUGGUCUGAACCUUCUGUUGCUUCUUCUGUUGUACUGGAAUCACAACAGAUUUAUUUGUUUUCUUUUUCUUAUUCUUCUUGUCCUUUGAGAUAAUUAUGAAAUGAGCAAUCUUUGUGAGUUUCUACCACCUCGCGCGUCCUGGUUGGUC
rnacentral:lncRNA from 1 species